rnacentral:rRNA from 1 species
CUCUGUGACUCCUACGGGGAGGCAGCAGUGGGGAAUAUUGCACAAUGGGGGAAACCCUGAUGCAGCCAUGCCGCGUGUGUGAAGAAGGCCUUCGGGUUGUAAAGCACUUUCAGUAGGGAGGAAGGUAGUGUAGUUAACACCUGCACUAUUUGACGUUACCUACAGAAGAAGCACCGGCUAACUCCGUGCCAGCAGCCGCGGUAAUACGGAGGGUGCGAGCGUUAAUCGGAAUUACUGGGCGUAAAGCGCAUGCAGGCGGCCUGUUAAGUCAGAUGUGAAAGCCCGGGGCUUAACCUCGGAAUUGCAUUUGAAACUGGCAGGCUAGAGUCUUGUAGAGGGGGGUAGGAAUUUCAGGUGUAGCGGUGAAAUGCGUAGAGAUCUGAAGGAAUACCAGUGGCGAAGGCGGCCCCCUGGACAAAGACUGACGCUCAGAUGCGAAAGCGUGGGGAGCAAACAGGAUUAGAUACCCUGGUAG